AUUGAACGCUGGCGGCAUGCCUUACACAUGCAAGUCGAACGGCAGCACGGGAGCAAUCCUGGUGGCGAGUGGCGAACGGGUGAGUAAAGUAUCGGAACGUGCCCAGUCGUGGGGGAUAACGUAGCGAAAGUUACGCUAAUACCGCAUACGAUCUAUGGAUGAAAGCGGGGGAUCGCAAGACCUCGCGCGAUUGGAGCGGCCGAUAUCAGAUUAGGUAGUUGGUGGGGUAAAGGCUCACCAAGCCGACGAUCUGUAGCUGGUCUGAGAGGACGACCAGCCACACUGGGACGGGGACACGGCCCAGACGCCUGCGGGAGGCAGCAGUGGGGAAUUUUGGACAAUGGGCGAAAGCCUGAUCCAGCCAUGCCGCGUGCAGGAUGAAGGCCUUCGGGUUGUAAACUGCUUUUGUACGGAACGAAAAGGUUUGGGCUAUUAAGCUGAGCUCAUGACGGUACCGUAAGAAUAAGCACCGGCUAACUACGUGCCAGCCGCCGCAGUAA
rnacentral:rRNA from 1 species